rnacentral:piRNA from 1 species
UUUCAACACGUGAUAAGACUGUGCCUAAUUU